UUAAGCCAUGCGAGUCGAGAGGUGUAAGACCUCGGCAUACUGCUCAGUAACACGUGGUUAACCUGCCCUAAGGUGGAGAAUACUCCCGGGAAACUGGGGCUAAUGCUCCAUAGUGGAUAUGUCCUGGAAUGGUAUAUCCUCGAAAGAUCCGUCGCCUUAGGAUGGGACUGCGUCCGAUUAGGUUGUUGGCGGGGUAACGGCCCACCAAGCCAUUGAUCGGUACGGGUUGUGGGAGCAAGAUCCCGGAGAUGGAUUCUGAGACAUGAAUCCAGGCCCUACGGGGCGCAGCAGGCGCGCAAACUUUACAAUGCGAGCAAUAGUGAUAAGGAAACCCUGAGUGCCUGUCGAUGCAGGCUGUUCAUAUAUCUAAAUCAUAUGUGAAGAAAGGGCAGGGCUAGACCGGUGCCAGCCGCCGCGGUAAUACCGGCUGCUCGAGUGAUGGCCACUAUUACUGGGUUUAAAGCGUCCGUAGCUUGACUGUUAGGUCUCUUGGGAAAUCUUCACGCUCAACGUGAAGGCGUCUAAGAGAUACCGGCAGUCUUGGAACUGGGAGAGGUAAACCGUACUUCGGGGGUAGGAGUGAAAUCUUGUAAUCCUCGAGGGACGACCUAUGGCGAAGGCAGUUUACCAGAACAGCUUCGACAGUGAGGGACGAAAGCUGGGGGAGCAAACGGGAUUAGAUACCCCGGUAGUCCCAGCC
rnacentral:rRNA from 1 species